CUGACUGCUAUCGGAUUGGUACUAAGCCAUGCGAGUCAUUGUAGCAAUACAAGGCGGACGGCUCAGUAACACGUAGUCAACCUAACUCGUGGACGUGGAUAACCUCGGGAAACUGAGAAUAAACCACGAUAGAUCAUAGUGCCUGGAAUGGCUUAUGGUCCAAACAGUUUACUGCCAUGGGAUGGGACUGCGGCCUAUCAGCUUGUUGGUGAGGUAAUGGCCCACCAAGGCGAUUACAGGUACGGGCUCUGAGAGGAGAAGCCCGGAGAUGGGUACUGAGACACGGACCCAGGCCCUAUGGGGCGCAGCAGGCGAGAAACCUUAGCAAUGUGCGAAAGCACGACUGGGUCAGUCCGAGUGAUUCCUGAUAAAGGAGUCUUUUGCCUGUCCUAAAAGCACAGGUGAAUAAGGGGUGGGCAAGUCUGGUGUCAGCCGCCGCGGUAAUACCAGCACCUCGAGUGGUCAGGACGUUUAUUGGGCCUAAAGCAUCCGUAGCCGGCUCUGCAAGUCUUCGGUUAAAUCCACCUGCUCAACAGAUGGGCCGCUGGAGAUACUACAGAGCUAGGGAGUGGGAGAGGCAGACGGUAUUCAGUGGGUAGGGGUAAAAUCCUCUGAUCCAUUGAGGACCACCAGUGGCGAAGGCGGUCUGCCAGAACACGUUCGACGGUGAGGGAUGAAAGCUGGGGGAGCAAACCGGAUUAGAUACCCGGGUAGUCCCAGCUGUAAACGAUGCAAACUCGGUGAUGCAUUGGCUUAUGGCCAAUGCAGUGCCGCAGGGAAGCCGUUAAGUUUGCCGCCUGGGAAGUACGGACGCAAGUCUGAAACUUAAAGGAAUGGCGGGGGGAGCAC
rnacentral:rRNA from 1 species